GACGAACGCUGGCGGCGUGCCUAAUACAUGCAAGUUGAGCGCUGAAGGUUGGUACUUGUACCAACUGGAUGAGCAGCGAACGGGUGAGUAACGCGUGGGGAAUCUGCCUUUGAGCGGGGGACAACAUUUGGAAACGAAUGCUAAUACCGCAUAAAAACUUUAAACACAAGUUUUAAGUUUGAAAGAUGCAAUUGCAUCAUUCAAAGAUGAUCCCGCGUUGUAUUAGCUAGUUGGUGAGGUAAAGGCUCACCAAGGCGAUGAUACAUAGCCGACCUGAGAGGGUGGUCGGCCACAUUGGGACUGGGACACGGCCCAAACUCCUACGGGAGGGAGCAGGAGGGAAUCUUCGGCAAUGGACGAAAGUCUGGCCGAACAACGCCGCGUGAGUGAAGAAGGGUUUCGGAUCGGAAAAAUCUGUUGGUAGGGAAGAACGUUGGUGAGAGUGGAAAGCUCAUCAAGUGACGGUAACUACCCAGAAAGGGACGGCUAACUACGUG
rnacentral:rRNA from 1 species